GGGUUGUGAGGUUAAGCGACUAAGCGUACACGGUGGAUGCCCUGGCAGUCAGAGGCGAUGAAGGACGUGCUAAUCUGCGAUAAGCGUCGGUAAGGUGAUAUGAACCAUUAUAACCGGCGAUUUCCGAAUGGGGAAACCCAGUGUGAUUCGUCACACUAUCAUUAACUGAAUCCAUAGGUUAAUGAGGCGAACCGGGGGAACUGAAACAUCUAAGUACCCCGAGGAAAAGAAAUCAACCGAGAUUCCCCCAGUAGCGGCGAGCGAACGGGGAGCAGCCCAGAGCCUGAAUCAGUGUGUGUGUUAGUGGAAGCGUCUGGAAAGGCGUGCGAUACAGGGUGACAGCCCCGUACACAAAAAUGCACAUAUUGUGAGCUCGAUGAGUAGGGCGGGACACGUGGUAUCCUGUCUGAAUAUGGGGGGACCAUCCUCCAAGGCUAAAUACUCCUGACUGACCGAUAGUGAACCAGUACCGUGAGGGAAAGGCGAAAAGAACCCCGGCGAGGGGAGUGAAAAAGAACCUGAAACCGUGUACGUACAAGCAGUGGGAGCACGCUUAGGCGUGUGACUGCGUACCUUUUGUAUAAUGGGUCAGCGACUUAUAUUCUGUAGCAAGGUUAACCGAAUAGGGGAGCCGAAGGGAAACCGAGUCUUAACUGGGCGUUAAGUUGCAGGGUAUAGACCCGAAACCCGGUGAUCUAGCCAUGGGCAGGUUGAAGGUUGGGUAACACUAACUGGAGGACCGAACCGACUAAUGUUGAAAAAUUAGCGGAUGACUUGUGGCUGGGGGUGAAAGGCCAAUCAAACCGGGAGAUAGCUGGUUCUCCCCGAAAGCUAUUUAGGUAGCGCCUCGUGAAUUCAUCUCCGGGGGUAGAGCACUGUUUCGGCAAGGGGGUCAUCCCGACUUACCAACCCGAUGCAAACUGCGAAUACCGGAGAAUGUUAUCACGGGAGACACACG
rnacentral:rRNA from 1 species